AUCAAGAGCAGAAGAAGAAAUUAAAUCUGCCGGUGAUUGCCAGUUACUAUCUGGUGGUUUCAAAGAGAAUGAAUGGAGCGGUGAGCGCUUGUGUGACCUGUCCUGCCAUCAGACUGGGACCUGUGGUGGGGAUUCCAGAGGUUGGCCCCUCACCGAUCAGUUAGUUUUGGCGGAUCUCAGCAGGUCUGUGCGCCAGAAUCUGAUUUCGGGUGUAACUUGUGGCAGAGAAUUUCUGAGGCCCCUCUUUAUUUUUACAUGUGGGACGCACAGCAUAAAAGGGCAAGUCAAACAUUUUAGUGAAAAUUGGGGCUUGUGCAAAAACAUACAAUUUUCCUAUGCCAGAAAGCUUGCAUCUUCCUUUUGUACUUUAUCCUUGUGCUGUCUUCAACACCUCUGCAUUCUGUCAGUGAUUUGAAACUUUCUUCAUUGCCUUCAGAGAC